rnacentral:rRNA from 1 species
AAAUCCCGUCUACGAAAUGGAUCCCCGGUGCUUUGUGGUGCGCUCUCGAUGAGUCGAGUUGUUUGGGAAUGCAGCUCUAAAUGGGUGGUAAACUCCAUCUAAGGCUAAAUAUAGGCGAGAGACCGAUAGCGAACAAGUACCGUGAGGGAAAGAUGAAAAGAACUUUGGAAAGAGAGUUAAACAGUACGUGAAAUUGCUGAAAGGGAAACGAUUGAAGUCAGUCGCGUUGUCCGGGAUUCAGCCUUGCCUCGGCGUGGUUUACUUCCCGGUUAACGGGUCAGCAUCGAUUUUGGCCGCCGGAAAAGGGCGGAGGGAAUGUGGCACCCUCGGGUGUGUUAUAGCCCUCUGUCGGAUUACGGCGGCUGGGAUCGAGGAUCGCAGCGCAGCUCCUUCGGGGGUGCGGGUUCGCCCAGCUUAUGCGCUUAGGAUGCUGGCAUAAUGGCUUUAAACGACCCGUCUUGAAACACGGACCAAGGAGUCUAACACGCCCGCGAGUGUUAGGGUGGAAAACCCUUGCGCGUAAUUAAAGUGAAAGCCGAGAACCCUCACGGGUGCACCGGCGCCCGGACCUGGGGCUUCGGCCCUUGGCCCGCGGUGGAGCGUGUGUGUUGGGACCCGAAAGAUGGUGAACUAUGCCUGAAUAGGGUGAAGCCAGGGGAAACCCUGGUGGA